UACAGAGGUCUCAAGCGUUGUUCGGAUUCAUUGGGCGUAAAGGGUGCGUAGGCGGCGCGGUAAGUCGGAUGUGAAAUCUCGGAGCUUAACUCCGAAACUGCAUUCGAUACUGCCGUGCUUGAGGACUGGAGAGGAGACUGGAAUUUACGGUGUAGCGGUGAAAUGCGUAGAUAUCGUAAGGAAGACCAGUGGCGAAGGCGGCACGCUGGACCUUUUCUGACGCUGAGGCGCGAAAGCCAGGGGAGCGAACGGGG
rnacentral:rRNA from 1 species